rnacentral:rRNA from 1 species
GACGAACGCUGGCGGCGUGCUUAACACAUGCAAGUCGAACGGAAAGGCCCUGCUUGCAGGGUACUCGAGUGGCGAACGGGGGAGUAACACGUGGGUGAUCUGCCCUGCACUUCGGGAUAUGCCUGGGAAACUGGGGCUAAUACCGGGGAGAGGCCAUUCUGAGUCUGGUGGGUGGAAGGUUUUUUGGGUGUGGGAUGAGCUGGCGGCCUAUCCGCUUGUUUGUGGGGGAAUGGGCUACCAAGGCGGCGACUGGUAGCCGGCCUGCGUGGGUGGACGGCCACAUUGGGACUGGGAUACGGCCCAGACCCCUACGGGAGGCAGCAGUGGGGAAUAUUGCAACAUGGGCGCAAGCCCGAUGCAGCGACGCCGCGUGGGGGAAGACGGGCUUCGGGUUGUAAACUCCUUUCGGUCGGGAAGAAGCUUUUUGUGACGGUACCUAGAUAAGAAGCACCGGCUAACUACGUG